GGGCAGAUGGCCGAGUGGUUUAAGGCGGAGGCCUUAAGAUCCUCUGACGAGAGUCGCGUGGGUUCGAACCCCACUCUGCCCA